rnacentral:rRNA from 1 species
AUUGAACGCUGGCGGCAUGCCUUACACAUGCAAGUCGAACGGCAGCACGGGUGCUUGCACCUGGUGGCGAGUGGCGAACGGGUGAGUAACACAUCGGAACAUGUCCUGUAGUGGGGGAUAGCCCGGCGAAAGCCGGAUUAAUACCGCAUACGAUCUACGGAUGAAAGCGGGGGACCUUCGGGCCUCGCGCUAUAGGGUUGGCCGAUGGCUGAUUAGCUAGUUGGUGGGGUAAAGGCCUACCAAGGCGACGUGCAGUAGCUGGUCUGAGAGGACGACCAGCCACACUGGGACUGAGACACGGCCCAGACUCCUACGGGAGGCAGCAUUGGGGAAUUUUGGACAAUGGGCGAAAGCCUGAUCCAGCAAUGCCGCGUGUGUGAAGAAGGCCUUCGGGUUGUAAAGCACUUUUGUCCGGAAAGAAAUCCUUGGCCCUAAUACGGUCGGGGGAUGACGGUACCGGAAGAAUAAGCACCGGCUAACUACGUG